AUACAAUACAACUUUCAGCAACGGAUCUCUUGGCUCUCGCAUCGAUGAAGAACGCAGCGAAAUGCGAUAAGUAAUGUGAAUUGCAGAAUUCAGUGAAUCAUCGAAUCUUUGAACGCACCUUGCGCCCUUUGGCUAUUCCGAAGGGCAUGCCUGUUUGAGUAUC
rnacentral:rRNA from 1 species